rnacentral:rRNA from 1 species
UACGAAGGGUGCAAGCGUUACUCGGAAUUACUGGGCGUAAAGCGUGCGUAGGUGGUCGUUUAAGUCCGUUGUGAAAGCCCUGGGCUCAACCUGGGAACUGCAGUGGAUACUGGACGACUAGAGUGUGGUAGAGGGUAGCGGAAUUCCUGGUGUAGCAGUGAAAUGCGUAGAGAUCAGGAGGAACAUCCAUGGCGAAGGCAGCUACCUGGACCAACACUGACACUGAGGCACGAAAGCGUGGGGAGCAAAC